UGGGGAAUCAUAGACAAUGGGCGCAAGCCUGAUCUUGCCAUGCCGCGUGAGCGAUGAAGGCCUUAGGGUUGUAAAGCUCUUUCACCGGUGAAGAUAAUGACGGUAGCCGGAGAAGAAGCCCCGGCUAACUCCGUGCCAGCAGCCGCGGUAAUACGGAGGGGGCUAGCGUUGUUCGGAAUUACUGGGCGUAAAGCGCACGUAGGCGGGCACUUAAGUCGGGGGUGAAAUCCCGGGGCUCAACCCCGGAACUGCCUUCGAUACUGGGUGCCUAGAGAACGGAAGAGGUGAGUGGAAUGGCGAGUGUAGAGGUGAAAUUCGUAGAUAUUCGCCGGAACACCAGUGGCGAAGGCGGCUCACUGGUCCGUUUCUGACGCUGAGGUGCGAAAGCGUGGGGAGCAAACA
rnacentral:rRNA from 1 species